rnacentral:rRNA from 1 species
CCUACGGGCGGCAGCAGUGAGGAAUAUUGGUCAAUGGCCGGAAGGCUGAACCAGCCAAGUCGCGUGAAGGAAGAAGGAUCUAUGGGUUGUAAACCUCUUUUAUAGGGGAAUAAAGGAAGCCACGUGUGGAUAUUUGCAUGUACCCUAUGAAUAAGCAUCGGCUAACUCCGUGCCAGCAGCCGCGGUAAUACGGAGGAUGCGAGCGUUAUCCGGAUUUAUUUGGUUUAAAGGGUGCGUAGGUUGUUUUUUAAGUCAGCGGUUAAAGUUUGUGGCUCAACCAUAGAAUUGCCGUUGAAACUGGAAGACUUGAGUGUGUUUGAGGUAGGCGGAAUGCGUGGUGUAGCGGUGAAAUGCAUAGAUAUCACGCAGAACUCCGAUUGCGAAGGCAGCUUACUAGGCCGUAACUGACGCUGACGCACGAAAGCGUGGGUAUCAAACAGGAUUAGAUACCCCUGUAGUC